rnacentral:rRNA from 1 species
UUAGUAACGCGUGAGUAACCUGCCCUUGACUUUGGGAUAACUUCAGGAAACUGGGGCUAAUACCGGAUAGGAGCUCCUGCUGCAUGGUGGGGGUUGGAAAGUUUCGGCGGUUGGGGAUUGACUCGCGGCUUAUCAGCUUGUUGGUGGGGUAGUGGCUUACCAAGGCUUUGACGGGUAGCCGGCCUGAGAGGGUGACCGGCCACAUUGGGACUGAGAUACGACCCAG